rnacentral:lncRNA from 13 species
AUGGAAAGUAUUUCCAGCCAUGUGAGGCAGGUGGCUGAUAAGGCACAGGCAGCUGCUGAUGGAGAUGGGAUUGUGGGAAUGCUGCUUCCUCCCCACUUCCGACAGCUGCACCACAAACAAGAACCUCCAGCACAUGUGAGCGGCUCCGGGCAAAGGCUGGGGAGCUUUGUUGGGGUUGCAGGAGGAAAUUCCAGUGGAAGCCAAGGCUGUCUUGACCUCAUUAGAGGCAACAAAACAGCUCCUUUCCCAAGAAACCUUUCUUGCUGCCGAGGCUUUGUUCAAACACAAUUCUGACAAAAAGUGGACAUCUCCCCGUGGUUUGCUCACCAUCCCUGAGGGUUCUGAGCUCUGCCUUCCUCAGCCUCCCAGUAUUGCUCUGCUGAUCCUGUGCAGAAAAGCCUUGAUAAUAUAAAAGAUCUGGGGUUUUCCAAUGAAAACUGUACUUCCAGAAAUGUUUGUAAUCGAGGAUCGUUUGCACUGCAUGAGGUGAGUCUGAAUUAGGUGCUGUGGACGUGCUGUGAGCACCCUUAGUGCAGGAAUGGUCAGAAUUUAAUAACUCCUGUCCUGUUGGGGCUGGUGCUGCGUAGUGCCAUUGGAAUGGGAAUGGCUGUGCUUAGUGGGUCACACCAGUGACCUUUCUCUUCGUUCUUCCUGGGCAUUUAUGGCCCUGUGGAUACUCCCGAGAUAGCCACUUUUAUAUAAAAGGUUUUAUCAGUGUGAAUACAUUGCAUUGUGUUCUCUCUGUGCCAUCAUCAGUGUGGCUCCCGGUCACAGCUCGGCUGUUAUCACUGCCUGAUUGCACCUGGACAUGGAUCCUUUGGUGCUGAAUCUACACAAGCAGGGAAGAAAAAGAGAUUAGAGCCCAAGUGGUUUCCAUUUUGAUAAUUCAAAUGUAUGCAUUAAGAUAAAGAAAAUGUUAUGAAAGUAGCCCAUAAAAUUUCAUUCUCUCAGGAGAGCAAAAACAAAAACCUGUAUUUUUCCCCUUAGUGGGAAGUUGUGCUCACAAUAACAUCCUUCUGGGAGCAUGGUGCUGAUAGUCUGCAUUUCUCUGUGAGUGAGGGUGAUCAGGACUGACCAUCACAGUGUCCCUUUGUCCUGGAGCAUCUCCAGCACCAGAAGGAAAAGUUUUUCCUUCUGUUUUUCCAAAGUACCACCCAAAAAGGUGACUUUGGUGGUGUUAAUUUUGAGGGAGGACAGGCAAUCACGGCCCCAUUAGGGCCAGGAACGUUCCUGGAUCCCUUGAUCCAUCCUCCACACAUCGCUGGCAGCUGGCACCAAUUUUAAUCCUUGCCAAAACAGCGGCCUGAGCUGCUGACCUCGUUCCAGCUGCCCUUGGAACAGCAGCCUCCAGGCAAUUCCGUGACUCCUGGCAGCUGGCUCUACUUUGGGGAUGCUCUGCUGCUGGAAUUGAGUUAUUCCCUGCGCCUUCCCAAGAAAACCAUUCCUGCGGGAGAGCGAGGGGAAGCAGGAGGAGCAAGGAGAGGACGGCGAGGCUAGCACGUGGAGUGGAGCAGGGUUGGUCCUGGAUGCCAGGGCUCAGGCUGGAGAGGAAUUUCUGCAUCCCUCUUGCUUUUAUUGUGCCGUGGAAAUGCAGUCCUGAAGGUUGUUCGGAGAUGAUGCAUCACUUAAGUCCUUUAUGGCCAGAUGCUUUUAGAAUGUGUCAGAGCUGUUCUGUUGCAGACAUUUCUUGGCUUUGCUAAAUCAAGAAGCCCAAAUCUUUGGUCUGGAAAGGGACAAUUUGCAUUUGCUCACCACAUAUUAAUUACUGCGGCUGAUUAGUUGCCAUGUGACACUUCAAUGUAGAUUUUCACCCGCAAUUUGGGUGCUUUUUUGAAGAGAAUUAAUGUAUUUCUGUAGCGUUUCACAGCAGCUGGGGAAAAAGUGUGAUGCAGACACCUCAGCUGUUUGUAGGCAAAUUAAAGAGUUUUCCUAGAGAAGUGAUUUCCAGCUGAAGAUCUCAGUCGCUAAAUCCUGGGAUUUAGAAAGGCUGCACCGAGCCCUUAGUCCGGGCUUUGUGCAGCAUCUUGUGGGCGGCGGGGACUCUCUGCGCUGGGUAAUGGACAGGAGUGCCAGCAGGUGCGGCCGGGAGGAGGAGGAGGAGGAGGGCAGGGACACAGGGCUCUGAGGUGUGUCGGGGCUGGGAGCGCAGCCCGGCUGGCCCCGGAGGCACAGCGCUAUCUGCCGGGGAUGCGGGAAUGCUGCCGGGGAUGCGGGAAUGCUGCCGGGGCUCUCCGGCACCGCACAGCUCCGGGAACGCUUCCCUGCGCCCGCAGCGGGACAUGGAUGUACACACACACACACACACGGGUGUGCUCCUUCCCGUCCCACGUAACCCCACCCAGGCAUUUCUCCAUCGAAUCUCUCCUUCCCUCGGAUUAUUUGGGCUCGGGAUGGAAACCUACGAUGGCUUUAAAUUGCUUGUUGUUGUUUUUUUCUAAUUGUUUCUUCGUUUAAAGUUAAUAAAACACCACUAAAAUAAGCAAACUAUAGCAGAAUACCCAGCCAGGAGGAGGUGCCUGCUUAGACACUGAAGUGCCAGCAAGGAAUUCCCUUUGGAAAAUCCGUGUUUCGGGGGAAGAAAAUGAUAUUUUAGAGGUUCAAGGCUCUGGGUAGUUUCUGCUGUUUUACACAGUGCCUUUAAAUAUGACCAGGGAGAUGUUCCUCACUGACAGAAAACAAAAAACCUUUCGAUUCUGUUGUGCUUAAGCUGGAAAACUGCCCUCCCUCGCCCUCCCUC